rnacentral:lncRNA from 1 species
GGAAAUAAAAGGUUUUGGGGGUUGAGGGAGUAAAUUUUUGGGGGGAAAGUAAAUAGAGGGAGUUAAUUUUGUUUUUUUUUGGGGGGAAUGGUUUGGGGUAGAAGGGGGUGAGAUGAGAGAGGAGUAAAAGUUUAGGGGAAAGUCAAGGGGUUUGGGAGUUUGGAGUAACAAUGUAAAAUAUUAUAGUUUGGUAUUCGAUUUAUUCGAAUUAUUUGAGUUAUUCGAAUUUGAAAACCAAACUCGAUUCGAACUCAAAAUUUGGAAACAAAAUUCGAGUUGACUCGAAUAAUUCG